AAUAAUGCCACAAGUGAUUUUAAUAUGUUGAAUCUCCUUCUGAGAGAGAAGGAAUGCGGGGUUGAGAUUCUCGAGAGGAUGAGAAGGUCGGUCGGAUGGAGUCGGAGGGUGAGGCUGAUCAGUUGCAGUCGGAGGAAGAAGUUGGUCGGUUGACGUCAGAGGAUGAGGUUGAUCGGUUGAAGUCGGAGGAUGAGGUUGAUCAGUUGAAGUCGGAGGAGGAGGUUGGUCGGUUGUAGUUGGAGAAGUCCAAAAAAGUUGGAUCGAGGAAGUCGAAGCCGACGGUGAGAUGGAGGAGGAAGGUCUG
rnacentral:lncRNA from 1 species